UACAGAGGUGGCAAGCGUUGUUCGGAAUUACUGGGCGUAAAGGGCGCGUAGGCGGUCUUGUCAGUCCCUUGUGAAAUCCCCCGGCUCAACUGGGGAACUGCACGGGAAACAGCAGGGCUUGAGUUCGGGAGAGGGAAGCGGAAUUCCGGGUGUAGCGGUGAAAUUCGUAGAUAUUGGGAAGAACACCGGUGGCGAAGGCGGCUCACUGGCUCAUUUCUGACGCUCAGGCGCGACAGCGUGGGGAUCAAACAGG
rnacentral:rRNA from 1 species